ACGCUCGCCACGUGCUCGUCGGCGCCCUGGCUGGACGGACGCCCCUGGGCUGUGGGCGCCCGGGGUUUGGGCGCGUUGGACGCGCUCCCAGCCGUGUUGGCUCAGAUGUCAGUCCCGUGCGCCCGUUGCACGUGUCGGUGCCUGAGGCGUGCGCACCUGUCGCUCGGCGACGCCCGGUCCGUUCCUGGCUCGUGUCGCUCCGCCCUCGCGUGGCCCUCCGGCGCCCGCCCUGCGGGGCGGCCCCUGCCCGCAGGUCUAAAGAAGUUACCAACUAAACUGAUCAGAAACUGGUCAUUGGUCACUAAAAGACCUAGAAGUUACAAUGUUUGGCAUGGCUUCGGAAUAAAGAGUAUUCUACUGUGAAACAAGAAACAAGAGGAGACAUGAAACUGCAGCUGGGACAGCUCUCGUGUCACCCAUACGUGAAAGCAGGCGCUGGGGGGCCAUCCCAUGAACCAAGAGGAUCACACAGGAAGCCACACAGACUGAGACGGGGUCCAAGCCCUGGCAACAUAGGUGACGCCGCGAAGCCAGCCCUCCUCAGUGAUUUUACUUACCUGAGUGAAUAGGUUUCCUGUAUGCUUCAGCCAGCUUGGGUCUGGUGUUCUGUUACUUGUAGCAGGAAUCAUUUGGACGAUAAGCGGGUGUACUGUUAAGCACCCUAAUCGUGUGGUUAGAUUAGAAACCGUCUCACGUGAUGUAGUGCUUAGUAUGGUGCCUGCUACUCUCCGUAUCCGUUUUAAGGUAUCUUUCCUGAACUCCAUGAAGUUCUAAGAAAAAUCCCCAUUAAAAACUGCCCCCCUCCAUCCGAGUGUUUAAAAUACCACAACAGUUUUACUACCGGCAUGUUUUCUACCCAAAAGAACUUGGUCUUUCUUGUUAGCUACACAGAAUAUUUCUCUGCAGGCUUUUGCGUGGAAAUUUAACCUUGUAAUUAUGACCUUGUAAUUCUUGACAAAAUCAUAGCUGACGUGGUUGGUGUUUAAAGAAGAUGCCCAUCGGCGUAGUCUCCGCUAGACACCUACAUGGAUCAGAAUGGUUCUAUUGGUUCAACAUCCUCCUCUCCUAUUUAAUAUCUGAGUGCUCUCACAUUUCUUCUUUGUAAUCCACAAAAUACUCUUAAUCCUGUCUGAUGCAUAUUCUAUUCCUGCCUCUUAACCCAGUCCUUGACACUGAAAAUAAAUGUAAGGAGCAGAAGUCCACGGCACAGAGUCCAUCUUCUUCCUUAAUAUAGCCUUCAAGUUUAAUUGUCACUGCAAACACACUUCCUUCAAUUUAUUUCUUAGUCUUUGGUAUUGUCUUUAAUUUUCUACCAACACUUCUAGAUUUAUUACUGAUUUCUGUUCAUAAACUUUCUUCCAUCCCAGUGCUUCCUUCCCCCCCCCCCCCUCAAAUAACUCAAGUUCUUUUCUGUAUUUUGUGACACAUGAGGUCUAGCAAUUUGGGGGGAAUCUGCCAUCUUUCCUCAUCCCACAGCAGUGGUCACUGUAGAGACUCAGGCAUUCUGGUAA